UGCGAAUUUGGUAGAGAUACCUUAGUGCCUUCGGGAACGCAGAGACAGGUGCUGCAUGGCUGUCGUCAGCUCGUGUUGUGAAAUGUUGGGUUAAGUCCCGUAACGAGCGCAACCCUUGUCCUUAUUUGCCAGCACGUAAUGGUGGGAACUCUAAGGAGACUGCCGGUGACAAACCGGAGGAAGGUGGGGACGACGUCAAGUCAUCAUGGCCCUUACGGGUAGGGCUACACACGUGCUACAAUGGCCGGUACAAAGGGCUGCGAGCUCGCGAGAGUCAGCGAAUCCCUUAAAGCCGGUCUCAGUCCGGAUCGGAGUCUGCAACUCGACUCCGUGAAGUCGGAAUCGCUAGUAAUCGUGAAUCAGAAUGUCACGGUGAAUACGUUCCCGGGCCUUGUACACACCGCCCGUCACACCAUGGGAGUGGACUGCACCAGAAGUGGUUAGCCUAACGCAAGAGGGCGAUCACCACGGUGUGGUUCAUGACUGGGGUGAAGUCGUAACAAGGUAGCCGUAGGGGAACCUGCGGCUGGAUCACCUCCUUA
rnacentral:rRNA from 1 species